rnacentral:rRNA from 1 species
UAAUUGAAGAGUUUGAUCAUGGCUCAGAUUGAACGCUGGCGGCAGGCCUAACACAUGCAAGUCGAGCGGUAACAGGGGAAGCUUGCUUCUCGCUGACGAGCGGCGGACGGGUGAGUAAUGUAUGGGGAUCUGCCCGAUAGAGGGGGAUAACUACUGGAAACGGUAGCUAAUACCGCAUAAUCUCUCAGGAGCAAA